UGAAUACGAGAUGCUACGGCGUCGAAGCAGUGUAUGUCAGACUUCCAAGAAAAGCUCGCAAUGUCAUAAAUAAAGAAUGCCUGUACCAUAACCGACACAGGUGGGUAGGUAGAGUAUACUAAGGGGCGCGAGAUAACUCUCUCUAAGGAACUCGGCAAAAUAACUCCGUAACUUCGGGAGAAGGAGUGCCUUCUUUAAGAAGGUUGCAAUAACAAGAUCCAAGCAACUGUUUAUCAAAAACACAGGUCUCCGCUAAGUCGUAAGACGAUGUAUGGGGGCUGACGCCUGCCCAGUGCCAGAAGGUUAAAGAAGCUGGUUAGCAAUAGCGAAGCUGGUGACUGAAGCCCUGGUGAACGGCGGCCGUAACAAUAACGGUCCUAAGGUAGCGAAAUUCCUUGUCGGGUAAGUUCCGACCCGCACGAAAGGCGUAAUGAUUUGGAUACUGUCUCGGAGAGGGACUCGGUGAAAUAGACUUGUCUGUGAAGAUGCGGACUACCUGCACCAGGACAGAAAGACCCUAUGAAGCUUUACUGUAACCUGAAAUUGGAAUUGGACUUUAUUUGCGCAGUAUAGGUGGGAGGCGUUGAAAGUAAUCUUGCGGGAUUAGUGGAGCCAUCAGUGAGAUACCACUCCUAUAAUGUUAGAUUUCUAACUUUGGAUCAUGAUCUGGUCAAAGAACAGUUUCAGGCGGGCAGUUUGACUGGGGCGGUCGCCUCCCAAAUGGUGACGGAGGCGUACAAAGGUUUCCUCUGAACGGGUAGAAAUCGUAUCUAGAGUGUAAAGGCAUAAGGAAGCUUGACCGUGAGACCUACAAGUCGAGCAGGGACGAAAGUCGGUCUUAGUGAUCUGACGGUGCUGAGUGGAAAGGCCGUCACUCAACGGAUAAAAGUUACUCUAGGAUAACAGGCUGAUCUCCCCCAAGAGUUCACAUCGACGGGGAGGUUUGGCACCUCGAUGUCGGCUCAUCGCAUCCUGGGGCGGUAGUACGUCCCAAGGGUUGGGCUGUUCGCCCAUGAAAGCGGUACGCGAGCUGGGUUCAGAACGUCGUGAGACAGUUCGGUCCAUAUCCGGUGUAGGCGUUAGAAUAUUGAGAGGAGCCUUCUCUAGUACGAGAGGACCGAGAAGGACAUACCUCUGGUGUACCAGUUAUCGUGCCAACGGUAAACGCUGGGUAGCUAUGUAUGGAGAGGAUAACCGCUGAAAGCAUCUAAGUGGGAAGCCCACCUCAAGAUGAGUAUUCUCAC
rnacentral:rRNA from 1 species